GAGAGUCGGACCACCACGGUCGACGUCAUCACGUCAUGAUGUCACAUCGAACAGGCCUUCUAUCUCGGUGGUCUUGGUCAAGAGCCGCUGGUGUGGAACUUUGGACUCGAUCGACCAACAAGGACGACUGCAAAGGCAGUUGUAGAUCUGUGGAUGGAAAAGCAGCUGUAUUCAGUCAAGGAAGCUCUUUAACCAUCUUCAUGUCCUAAGGAAAAUAAAAUUUGGGAAGCUCAUCAGAAACUGUACAUUGAGGGAGACUUCACUGAGCAAACGAGAAGCAGCAUCUGUCAACAGAAAUACCUGCGUGCUUUUAAGAAUUCUGGAAGACAAAUAAUUGAACUAACUUUUCUUUAAUUCCUCUUGUUAUACUGAAGUGCGACAGAACAGAACAGUAAAUUAAAGUUUUGCCCUGGGUCAAUAAUAAUGAUAACUACAAUUUGAAAGAAUUGUGCUAUGUUGUAGCAGAAUUGCAUGUUACGAGAUCAAAUCACUUCUGUUAUUGAAGACAAUGUUGUUAAAUCUGAGGAUGACUGGGUUUUAAAGGUUAUAUAAGGUAAAUACGAAUUAGUGGAGAUACAAAUUUGAAAAUUCUGCCAUGUUCCAGGGUGCUUUUCUUGGAUAAGGUAAACCAAAUGUAAAAACUAAAAUUAAGCAAAUUUUGGUUUCAGGUGUCUUCUUGUGAGAGUAGACUAUUAAACCUUCAGACAGCUGUUCUGCUUGGUAUUUGUUGUUCUUUGAGGGGAAUUGUUGUAAAAAUAAGAGGAGUUGAUUUUCUAAGGAUAUGAGCAACUUCUCUCCAGUGACCUGAAAUGCUGUUUCUUGCUUUUUAUUUUUCUCCAAUCCCUACUUAAUGUUUUCACUUUUUAUGCUCAAAAUUUUCAUCCUUCGUUUAGUCUAACAAUUAUCCAUUAUGAUGGAGAUAACAGUAGUAAUAAUUACUAAGUCCUUUGGGCCAGCUCUCUUGAGGGUUUAAUUCAGUAGUCUUGUUAAGGUAGUAAUUAGUACUGUUAAUGAUGCUGAGGCACACUGUAGGUAUGUCUUCCUUUAGAGAUCUGUUAGAACAUGAGUGGGUAUUUUAUUUUUAGAUUAUUGUUCAACCAGGUUCUUGUCCAUGAAUAUGUAAAAACCAGGUGGGUUGUUCAAAGUUUUUUAAUGCGCUCAUGAAAUAAUAUUAGGUUAUACCAUGAACAACUUUGGCUAGUUGCUGUGGAUAUAAAGCUAUGGGACUAUACUAGGACAAAAAGACUUGUAAAUGUUAUGAUGUAUGUCAUCAAAUUUUGUUCAUCCUGAGCCAGUCCUUAAUCUUUUUUAGCAGAAAUCCAUGCUAACAUUAUAGAAACGUGGGAGAAACCUUUGCAUCACCAUUGCGCUAUGGGAAUAUACAGAGUAGUUUUAUGUAAAUAUCUUCAACUGUAAGCUCAAAAAUUAUAGCAAGGCUUUAUGUAUGCUGACUUAGUGGGCAUUAAAAUAAUUUAGAUAAAUAACGAUAACUUAAUAAUAAGGCAUCAAGGAAAGAAUCGUGUGUACACAUAGUCUUAAUUAGCAGUUGAAAACUGAACCACUCUCUUAAUAGUAGUCGAAAUUAAACCAAGUAACACUCAAUUUGAGUUUGAGUUUUCAAUUUGGCUUUUUAUUUUGUGUGCUUAUCCUCAAAUUUAUUAUAUUUCCUAUCUUAUAUGUAAUGUAUUUCAUCCAUUAUAUUUCUAUUUAAUCGCCUUGCUUUAGAAUUUUAGGAAGGACAGGUGCAUUUGAAAUUUUGUAAAAUAAACAUGUGUUCAUUAUUAUUUAACCUCUGGCAAUUGACGAAUGUAAUUUUAUAGUAGAAUAAGGACUGUCUUGAUUUUCAGAUUUCUUAAUGGUGGUAAUGUCAGUGGAGUCCGUGUUGAUCUAGAAUAAAAUUCUGUUGAAUGCCUAAUUAACAAGCUUCUAUAUUUUAAUUGGAUUUUUGUAGAAGCAAUCUUGAAUAUUUAAUGCUUAUUUGUGGAAAGCUGUAGUUUUGCGGAGUCAUAAUAAGCAUGAUUGAAGACAAAUGUAACAACUUAUCAUUUACAAAGGUGUUUUCAGUGAUUUAAAAAUAAGUCUUCUGAAGGUUUUGAUUUAUAAUUUAAAAUCUGUCAUUUGUGAAAUAAUUAGAAUAUAGUUUUACAGUGUUAAGAUUAGAUUGUCUUUAGAGUCUAAUUGUUUCAGUAGUGUAUUGAUUUGCAAAGAUUUUGUAAAACAGGUCUGGAUGCUUAGCAGAUUUUGAAAAGUGUAGGUAUUUGAUGUGAAGAAAGGGUGUUGCAUGGAAUGUGGACAUUGUAGUUGUAGUAGACUAAAUUGAAUGUUAGGCAGAGUUAAUAUCUAACUUGUAUGUGGAGAAAUUGUUGCACUCCCCACACGCCAGACUAUACUAUGAGUAGUAUGAAACCUAGUUUUAAUAAAGAAAAUCUACUAAAUACAGUAGAUUUGUCCUUUAGGAAAAAGGUGUUGAGGUUAUUCCAUUCUACUCUUGCAGCCAAUUGUGUGUCAAGUAUCUGGAGAAAAAUCAUAGAAAAAAAAUUCAAAAGUUAACAAGUUAAAAAAAAUGGCUCAUAUUACACAAUACCUAAUAUAAUAAAACGUUUCAGGCCAGUGGUGUGUGGGUAGGAUUUUAGCUCGUUGGUCAGGCAGUCGGAAAGGUAGUAUUCAUAGGAGAAAGAUCUAUAGGAAACCCCUAGAAAAUCAAAUGAGGGCUUUAACCCUUGUAUUGUUUUGUUAAACAAAAAAAAUUAACCCUUGUAGGAAUGCGACAUGUUGUAGUUGGAAGUGCAUUAGAGAUUUUCUUGCU